AAAGAGCAUCUGUUCCCUCCAUUCUCCCAGCUCCAUCGGCUGCCAACCUAGGGCCAUCGUCUGCCUCCAUCACCCCUCCGCCCGCCCGCCUACCCACCCAAUCCCAAACGGGUGCUGGAUCAGGUGCUGAAUCCGGCUGCCUCCUCGGGUCCUCCUUCCCCUUCCCUCUUAGGCAUGGGGAGUGGAGCAACAGACGGAGAGUGGCAUGAAGACACAAAGGAGGAAGCACACCAUUGCCAAGACCCCAAGGAAGAAGGAUGGAAAGCGCUGGCAGUCCUGCCUGGCCCCCAGCCAGUUCCCUGCUGAAGAUGGCCAGAUCCCCUUGUCUGGUCUGUAUAUGCCACUUUUGCUGGGGUGGAAGGAGGGAAGGGCUGGCUUGCUGAGCUGGGCUCUAGAAUGGGAAGGGUACCUUUCUGCAGAUCC
ensembl:lncRNA ZFHX2-AS1 ZFHX2 antisense RNA 1